AUUGAACGCUGGCGGAAGGCCUAACACAUGCAAGUCGACCUAGUGGAGGACGGGUGAGUAAUGUCUGGGAAACUGCCUGAUGGAGGGGGAUAACUACUGGAAACGGUAGCUAAUACAGCAUCCCAUCGCAUUUGCCCAGAUGGGAUUAGCUAGUUGGUGGGGUAAAGGGUCACUUAGGCGCCGAUCCCUAGCUGGUCUGAGAGGAUGACCAGCCACACUGGCACUGAGACACGGGCCAGACUCCGACGGGAGGCAGCAGUGGGGAAUAUGGCACAAGGGGCGCAAGCCUGAUGCAGCCGUGCCGCGUGUAUGAAGAAGGCCUUCGGGGUGUAAAGUACUGGCAGCGGGGAGGCGUUACCCGCAGAAGAAGCGCCGGCUAACUCCGUGCCAGCCGCCGCGGUAAUAC
rnacentral:rRNA from 1 species